rnacentral:sRNA from 1 species
AUUUGCUAUGCGUACACCACGGUUUCUGCGUGCCGUCCACAUCCGUCCGGCGACCGCGCGUUACGUUCUGUCAGUC